ensembl:lncRNA
UCCCUUAUAAAGAAUGACAUUAUUUGAACAAAAUAUUGAGAUGUUUACGUUUUUUCGCCAAAUGCUAUAAUGCAUAUGACUGUCACUAAAAGCAAUCCUCGUGACUUUCUGUUUCCCACCGGGUAUUCCCAUCUGGUUUGAAUCGUCAUCUCCAAAAAUUGUGAAAUUGGACACCUAAGAGUAUAUUCUAACCCUUUCUUAGAACUCUCCUUUACAUUGUUUCGCGAUCGAAAUGUAGGACCAGAGUCAGAUCACACCCGCUCGUUUUAAUCUUAAAUGGAUAUUGUAUGUCAUGUCAACCCUUACAGGAACCCGACACAACAAUAAUUAAACGGGAUAUGCACCGAGGGCUCAACUGGUGGCGCAUUGGAUGUAGGAAGCGGUCGUAUUUCCCCUGCUGCAGAAGGUAGAGGUUAAAAAUCUGUGGGAACGUCUCAGAGGAAAGAGGGGGCGGGAGGAAAGGGAAGGGGUACGGGAAAGACAGGCAGGCAGGCAGGGUGUUUCCUUAACUUCAAGGAAGAGUUUAAUCAAGUUAAUAGAUUAUUGUGGGCUAUUAAAACGAUACACCACUGGGAAACCGUACGUUAUCAAAUUUUAAAAGACACAAACAAGAGAAGGAGACCGCGAUGUUGGGAAUAGGAAAACUGCACCACGGUCUGGAAUAGGGUGAAGGAUGGAGGGAGAGACGGAGAAGGAGACAGCGGAGGAGAAGGAGAGUGAUGAGACACAGCCGUUUGCUGGGGAAGGGGCAGGGCGACUUCGUCAGAAUGGAGAGUCCUCUGAGGACGACCAGGACCUACCCAUCAUGCACUGGGAAGACCUGAGCCUGAGGAUCGCUGAACUGGAGAAACAGGAGGAGGAGAGGAGAGAAAGGGCAAAGAGUACGAGUGGGUCGGAACAGGGGAGUGUGUCAGGGGGCUGGGCGGAAGAGAGGCAGGGUGGGCUGUGGAGGAAAGAUGAAUGGGAGGAUGAGGAGGACUACGGAAGAUGUCGAGUCACGGUCGUCUCGUCUAGAUUCCACAACCAAAAAAAUCUACAGUUAUGCUACAUCAACAACAGUGAGAGUGAGGAUGAGGAGGGGGCUGUCAAAGAAGGUUCUAUAGGACCAGGUAGCUAUGGUUACCACCCCUCUGGCCUGAAGUUGGAAGUGAGGGCCGCGCUGAGUGCGCUCAAAAACAAGCUGUUAGCUGAACAGAAAGAGGAGCACCUUGCCUGCAGUAGUGUGAUCACUAAGAGGACGCAUCUGGAACGCUGUGACCUGCAGACCUGCUCAAUACAGCAGCUCAACUCCCUCAGGACCUCACUCAACCACGACAUACACGACCUGAGCUCAGAGUUGGUGGGUCACCUGUUGAUAAGGGACCAGCUGAGAACCAAACAGGACGCCAUGCUCCUGGACGUACAGGAUCUGACAUAACCCUCACCCACAGGUGCACAGGACAGGAAGUCGUUGUGCUCAACAGUGGAUAAAGUGAUGCUGUCCAAGAUAUGCCACUAUGAGACUGUCAGAAGUGUUGCCAUAAUAUCCUACUUAACAUAUGAUUCUUCGAUAAAAAGGAGAAAUGUUGAUGAACACUAAUGAGCACCAUCUUGGACCGGCAUCAUAAUGCAAUCCACAUUACACAGGCAUGGUACAGAUGCUCAGCUAUGUAAAGCCAACUGACAUUUACUUCUGAGGUACUGACCUGUUGCACCCGCUACAAUCACUGUGAUUAUUAUUGGACCGUGCUGGUCAUCAAUGAAUGUUUGAACAUCUUGAAGAACAAUCUGGCCUUAAAUGGCCAUGUACUCUUAUAAUCUCCACCCGGCACAGCCAAAAGGGGACUGGCCACCCCUCAGAGCCUGGUUCCUCUGUAUAUUUCUUCCUAUGUUCCUGCCUUUCUAUGGAGUUUUUCCUGGCCACCGUGCUUCUACAUCUGCAUUGCUUGCUAUUUGGGGUUUUAGGCAGGGUGUCUGUAUCUACUUACAUCUACUGAUGUAAAAAGGGCUUUAUAAAUACAUUUGAUGGAUAACUUUCUCCUCAUCAUCCCCCCUGAUCUCGAACAGCAUAAUCUUAAUUAUCAUCAUUAGUGGAGAGAGUACUGUAUUAGGACCUAUUUUGAUUGAUGCAUGCACUUAAUUAACAACAAAUAUUUCAUAUCAGAAAGAGGAGUUUAAGCCAUUUGUGAUGUUUGAAACAUUUCUAAUAUCUGACUCCUAGUCCAUUGCCAGUGGUAAGAAAAAUCAUAUUUUUAUUAUUUCUUCAGACGGAGAAUCUUCACAGCCAUAGUUUAAACCAUUUACAUAUCUGAGGGAUACCAGCUUUUCCACAAGUUUCAUUGUGUAAAAAUUGCAAUAUCCUUGACUUAUUAAUGUAAGGGAAUUGUACACUUACAGCCUGUGUAAAACAAGCUAAGGGGUUACAUAUUCAGGCUAAGGGGAACUGUCCUGUAACAAUUUGGUGGAGAAGCUUCUUGGUUUCUAAUUUAGGAUAAUUAUCCUCUUGUAUAGUUGCUUAUGUAAGGGAAUUGUCCACUUAUAUUGCCUAUAAGCCUUUGGGUAUUGACAUGUAUGUUGACUCUUGUGAUAUACCUAGGUGGUUUGCGUCCAUAACUAUAACUACUAUCAGCAUAGGAAACCACAAAGCUGCUAUUGUGUGAUUCCAUGUGAGCAAAGCCCGAAAAUAAGUUUGUAUCUCAGAUUGUUCUGGCAAUUAUCACAUAGAAACGUCAUUGGGAAGAUGAAUGUUUGAUAGGCUUUUUACAUUUGUGACACACACCAUUUUUUGGAAAAUGAUUAUAGUGGUCAUUUUAGGCCCUUUUUAGAAAUAUUGAUUUAAACUAUAAACUCUACAAGUACAUCAAUGUUCCAGAGUGGGCUCUGCUACUUUUAAAGUUAAAAACAAUUUUAUGAGCACCAUCAACACAGUGAAAGGAAAAAUGGAUUCAAAAGGAACUGUGAUAGGUCCUUCCUUAAACCAAUGUUAAUUUCUAUGUAUUAAAUGGAUAAUUUCUUCAAAAUUAGCAGAGCCCACCUUCGAAAUAUGUGUUUGAAGAGUAUAUUGUUCUAAACAAGAUGUCUAAAAAUAAGCAAAAUCAAAAAGGGUACCUUUGAGAUGUUGAUAAUAUUUUUAAUGUUGAAUAAAUUAAUGGGAUUUUUUUUUCAGAAUACAGCCGUAAUCCAUAUUUUAAAGCACACUAUAAGGAGUAUAAUUACACCAAGAUGGCUGUACCGUGUACGGUUCACAGAUUAUAGGGUCUAAAAGAGCCUAAAAUGGCCACAUUCAUCAUGAUUUUCAAAAAAAUGGUUUGUGAUACAAAUGUAUAAGGCAUGUUAAACAUCCUUCCUCUCAAUUAAGUUUUUAUGUGAGAAUUGCCAGAACAUUUUGAGAUACUCUAAAAAUAAAUUGGGCCAUGCUGGAGUGGAAUUGCCUUGUUGCAUUCAUUAUGUCUAGGUUAAAGAGAUUUUCCUGACCAUGUGACCUCACCAGUAGCAAACACCAGGCUCUAGUUACUGACCCCCUCUUUCCUGUUCAAGUUAUAUAGUCAGGUAAAACUCCUAUUGUGCCUUGUCAAGCAAUUAUUAUAUGUCGUACUUUCACAAUCUUGUGUAUUUGUAGGUUGAUGGAAGAAUGAACUGUGAUAGCAGAUUCAUAGCUAUGGGAAGGGGUUGAGUGCCCUGAAGUAACAUUUAACUUUUUUGUCUCUGAAGUAUUUUUCAGUAUUUACUUAAAAAAACAAUUUUGCAUUCAUUAAACCUUAGUUAUUUCAUGUUGUGUGCUGUCACUGUGUGUGUGUCUGUAAUGCUGCUAGCUCAAAUCAAAUAUUUGUCACGUGAGCCGAAUUCAACAGGUGUAGUAGACCUUACAGUGAAAUGCUUACUUACAGGCUCUAACCAAUAGUGCAAGAAGUUGUUAGGUGAACAACAGGUAAGUAAAGAAAUAAAACAACAGUAAAAAGACAGGCUAUAUACAGUAGCGAGGCUACAUACAGACACCGGUUAGUCAGGCUGAUUGAGGUAGUACGUACAUGUAGAUAUGGUUAAAGUGACUGUGCAUAUAUGAUGAACAGAGAGUAGCAGUAGCGUAAAGGGGGGGCUGGUCGGUGGCAGGACACAAUGCAGAUAGCCCGGUUAGCCAAUGUAUGGGAGCACUGGUUGAUCAGCCCAAUUGAGGUAGUAUGUACAUGAAUGUAUAGUUAAAGUGACUAUGCAUAUAUGAUAAACAGAGUGUAGCAGCAGCGUAAAAAGAGGGGUUGGGGGGGCACACAAUGCAAAUAGUCCAGGUAGCCAUUUGAUUACUUGUUCAGGAGUCUUAUGGCUUGGGGGUAAAAACUGUUGAGAAGCCUUUUUGUCCUAGACUUGGCACUCCGGUAACGCUUGCCAUGCGGUAGUAGAGAGAACAGUCUAUGACUGGGGUGGCUGGGGUCUUUGACAAUUUUUAGGGCCCUCCUCUGACACUGCCUGGUGUAGAGGUCCUGGGUGGCAGGCAGCUUAGUCCCAGUGAUGUACUGGGCCGUACACACUACCCUCUGUAGUGCCUUGUGUUCAGAGGCCGAGCAAUUGCCGUAUCAGGCAGUGAUGCAACCAGGAUGCUCUUGAUGUUGCAGCUGUAGAACCUUUUGAGGAUCUCAGGACCCUUGCCAAAUCUUUUUAGUUUCCUGAGGGGGAAUAGGCUUUGUCGUGCCCUCUUCACAACUGUCUUGGUGUGUUUGAACCAUUCUAGUUUGUUGUUGAUGUGGACACCAAGGAACUUGAAGCUCUCAACCUGCUCAACUACAGCCCCGUCGAUGAGAAUGGGGGCGUGCUCUGUCCUCCUUUUCCUGUAGUCCACAAUCAUCUCCUUAGUCUUGGUUACGUUGAGGGAUAGGUUGUUAUUCUGGCACCUCCCGGCCAGGUCUCUGACCUCCUCUCUAUAGGCUGUCUCGACGUUGUCGGUGAUCAGGCCUACCACUGUUGUGUCAUCUGCAAACUUAAUGAUGGUUUUGGCGUCGUGCCUGACCAUGCAGUCGUGGGUGAACAGGGAGUACAGGAGGGGACUGAGCACGCACCCCUGUGGGGCUCCAGUGUUGAGGAUCAGCGUGGCAGAUGUGUUGCUACCUACCAUCACCACCUAGGGGCGGCCCGUCAGGACGUCCAGGAUCCAGUUGCAGAUGGAGGUAUUUAGUCCCAGGAUCCUUAGCUUAGUGAUGAGCUUUGAGGGUACUAUGGUGUUGAACGCUGAGCUGUAAUCAAUUAAUAGCAUUCUCACAUAAGUAUUCCUUUUGUCCAGGUGGGAAAGGGCAGUGUGGAGUGCAAUAGAGAUUGUAUCAUCUGUCUAUCUGUUUGGGCGGUAUGCAAAUUGGAGUGGGUCUAGGGUUUCUGGGAUAAUGGUGUUGAUGUGAGCCAUUACCAACCUUUCAAAGCACUUCAUGGCUACGGACGUGAGUGCUACGGGUCUGUAGUCAUUUAGGCAGGUUGCCUUUGUGUUCUUGGGCACAUGGACUAUGGUGGUCUGCUUGAAACAUGUUGGUUUUACAAACUCAAUCAGGGACAUGUUGAAAAUGUCAGUGAAGACACCUGCCAGCUGGUCAGUACAAGAUUUUCAUUUAUUUGUUUGAAUCUAUAGUGUGUGUACAUGCAUACGAGCAAGCAAAUGAGUGUGUGUGUGUACCAUUGCGUACCUUCACUUGACUAGCUCAGCACUAAUGAUUUAGAGGACAAAAAUAGAGGGAGAGGGAGGGUAUUGACGAGGAUAAAGUAAAACAGAGGGAGGAGGGAUAAUUGAGCAACAGAGUCAGGGAUGACUAACCCGCACCAGAGGAGAGAUAGAGAGAGCAGGAGGAGGAGAGGAAUAAAAUAGAGAUAUAUGAGUGUGUUAAAGGUAAGCGGAAGUUAAUGUUACAUAUUAGCAGUGUUUUACUGAAGAGCUCAAUGGGUACGGGGACAAAAGUAGGAGAAGAAACAGGCUGGUGUUUUUUUAAGUGACAAACAAAGGACAAUACAUCUAUAUCACCAGAAAACCAGGUAAGAUAUUAUAUUUAUACUUUAAACCUAACAGAAAAUAAUACUCUGCUGUAGGCAUUGCUUUGUACUCACAUUAAAUAUACAUAACAUGA